CCUACGUGUGGCUGCAGUGGGGAAUAUUGGACAAUGGGCGAAAGCCUGAUCCAGCCAUGCCGCGUGUGUGAAGAAGGCCUUCGGGUUGUAAAGCACUUUCAGUGGGGAAGAAAGCCUUGGGGCUAAUACCCUCGAGGAAGGACAUCACCCACAGAAGAAGCACCGGCUAACUCCGUGCCAGCAGCCGCGGUAAUACGGAGGGUGCGAGCGUUAAUCGGAAUUACUGGGCGUAAAGCGCGCGUAGGCGGUCUGAUAAGCCGGUUGUGAAAGCCCCGGGCUCAACCUGGGAACGGCAUCCGGAACUGGCAGGCUAGAGUGCAGGAGAGGAAGGUAGAAUUCCCGGUGUAGCGGUGAAAUGCGUAGAGAUCGGGAGGAAUACCAGUGGCGAAGGCGGCCUUCUGGACUGACACUGACGCUGAGGUGCGAAAGCGUGGGUAGCAAACAGGAUUAGAUACCCGGGUAGUC
rnacentral:rRNA from 1 species